rnacentral:rRNA from 1 species
UAAGAUGAGUAUGCGUACCAUUAGUUUGUUGGUAAGGUAACGGCUUACCAAGACUACGAUGGUUAGGGGCCCUGAGAGGGGGAUCCCCCACACUGGUACUGAGACACGGACCAGACUCCUACGGGAGGCAGCAGUGAGGAAUAUUGGACAAUGGAGGAGACUCUGAUCCAGCCAUGCCGCGUGCAGGAAGACGGUCCUAUGGAUUGUAAACUGCUUUUAUACAGGAAGAAUAAGGACUACGUGUAGUCUGGUGACGGUACUGUAAGAAUAAGGACCGGCUAACUCCGUGCCAGCAGCCGCGGUAAUACGGAGGGUCCGAGCGUUAUCCGGAAUUAUUGGGUUUAAAGGGUCCGUAGGCGGGCCAUUAAGUCAGGGGUGAAAGUUUGCAGCUCAACUGUAGAAUUGCCUUUGAUACUGAUGGUCUUGAAUUAUUGUGAAGUGGUUAGAAUAUGUAGUGUAGCGGUGAAAUGCAUAGAUAUUACAUAGAAUACCGAUUGCGAAGGCAGAUCACUAACAAUACAUUGACGCUGAUGGACGAAAGCGUGGGUAGCGAACAGGAUUAGAUACCCUGGUAGUCCACGCCGUAAACGAUGGAUACUAGCUGUGUGGUUUUCGGACUGCGCGGCCAAGCGAAAGUGAUAAGUAUCCCACCUGGGGAGUACGUUCGCAAGAAUGAAACUCAAAGGAAUUGACGGGGGCCCGCACAAGCGGUGGAGCAUGUGGUUUAAUUCGAUGAUACGCGAGGAACCUUACCAGGGCUUAAAUGUAGAUUGACAGGUUUAGAGAUAGACUUUCCUUCGGGCAAUUUACAAGGUGCUGCAUGGUUGUCGUCAGCUCGUGCCGUGAGGUGUCAGGUUAAGUCCUAUAACGAGCGCAACCCCUGUUGUUAGUUACCAGCACAUUAUGGUGGGGACUCUAGCAAGACUGCCGGUGCAAACCGUGAGGAAGGUGGGGAUGACGUCAAAUCAUCACGGCCCUUACGUCCUGGGCCACACACGUGCUACAAUGGUAGGUACAGAGAGCAGCCACUUAGCGAUAAGGAGCGAAUCUAUAAAACCUAUCACA